rnacentral:rRNA from 1 species
AUUGAACGCUGGCGGCAUGCCUUACACAUGCAAGCCGAACGGCAGCGGGGGAGAAGCUUGCUUUUCCUGCCGGCGAGUGGCGAACGGGUGAGUAAUACAUCGGAAUGUGCCCUGUAGUGGGGGAUAACUAGUCGAAAGAUUAGCUAAUACCGCAUACGACCUGAGGGUGAAAGUGGGGGACCGCAAGGCCUCAUGCUAUAGGAGCGGCCGAUGUCUGAUUAGCUAGUUGGUGGGGUAAAGGCCUACCAAGGCGACGAUCAGUAGCUGGUCUGAGAGGACGAUCAGCCAGACUGGGACUGAGAAACGGCCCAGACUCCUACGGGAGGCAGCAGUGGGGAAUUUUGGACAAUGGGCGAAAGCCUGAUCCAGCAAUGCCGCGUGUGUGAAGAAGGCCUUCGGGUUGUAAAGCACUUUUGUCCGGAAAGAAAUGGCUCUGGUUAAUACCUGGGGUCGAUGACGGUACCGGAAGAAUAGGGACCGGCUAACUACGUGCCAGCCGCCGCGGUAA